rnacentral:rRNA from 1 species
CUUGACACUGAACAUUGAGCCUUGAUGUGUAGGAUAGGUGGGAGGCUUUGAAGUGUGGACGCCAGUCUGCAUGGAGCCGACCUUGAAAUACCACCCUUUAAUGUUUGAUGUUCUAACGUUGACCCGUGAUCCGGGUUGCGGACAGUGUCUGGUGGGUAGUUUGACUGGGGCGGUCUCCUCCUAAAGAGUAACGGAGGAGCACGAAGGUUGGCUAAUCCUGGUCGGACAUCAGGAGGUUA